rnacentral:rRNA from 1 species
GACGAACGCUGGCGGCGUGCCUAAUACAUGCAAGUAGGACGCAGUUGCGAACGGGUGAGUAACGCGUAGGUAACUGCCUAUUAGAGGGGGAGAACUAUUGGAAACGAUAGCUAAUACCGCAUACUAGUAGAUGGACCUGCGUUGUAUUAGCGAGUAGGUAGGGUAAGGGCCUACCAAGGCAACGAUACAUAGCCGACCGUAGCGGGUGAUCUGCCACACCUGGACUGCGCCACGUCCCAGACUCCUACGGGAGGCCGCAGUAGUUAAUCUUCGGCAAUGUGGGUAACCCUGACCGAGCAACGCCGCGUGAGUGAAGAGGGUUUUCGGAUCGUAUAGCGCGGUGUUUAAGGAUGCGGUACUUAACCAGAGAGCGACGGCUAACUACGUGCCAGCAGCCGCGGUAAUAC